AGAUCAUUGGAGGGAUUGCUCGGGGGAUGCUGUAUUUUCAUCAAGAUUCACGGCUAACAAUCAUACACCGUGACCUCAAAGCAAGUAACAUUCUCCUGGAUGCAGAUGUGAAUCCAAAAAUUGCUGAUUUUGGAAUGGCGAGGAUAUUUGGGAUGGACCAAACCCAGGAGAACACAAAAAGAAUUGUUGGUACCUAGUAAGUCAUCCACUUUACUUCUCAUAAUUAAAUUAAAGUUCGUUGAACAUGAUUUUGUCAAUACUAAAUUUUUGGUGUGGAUUUCAGUGGUUACAUGUCUCCCGAAUAUGCUAUGCAUGGCCAAUUCUCAAUGAAAUCUGAUGUCUAUAGCUUCGGAGUUUUAGUUCUUGAGAUUAUAACUGGUAGGAAGAAUAGCAGCUUCUACGAGAGAGAUGGUGCCCAUAAUUUGGUCACAUAUGCUUGGAGACUGUGGACCAACAAAACAGAGUUAGACCUCGUGGAUCCAGUUAUAGUAGAUAAUUGCCAGAAGAGUGAAGUGGUUUGAUGCAUCCAUAUCGGUCUUUUAUGUGUUCAAGAGGAUCCUGUAGAACGUCCGACGUUUUCAACCAUUUUGCUGAUGCUCACUAGUAACAAUGUGAUUUUACCAGUUCCUCAACAACCAGGGUUUGUCAUUCAGGCUAGACAUAGAAAAGAUCUGUCUGAUUCGAAUCAAUCUACGAUGAAGAAGUGUGAUAUACGGUCUGUCGGUGAUGCGUCGGUCACUGAUUUGUAUCCUUGUUGAUUAUUGAUUAUGGUGUUAACCUUCACGCUUGGACUAAUUGGCAUUCAUUGGUCAGAACAAGUGUUGUUUUGAGUUUUUAAUAAAUCAACUUAAAAAUAAAACCAAGUGUUCUCGUAUUUUUAAGUGUUUCAAUCUAAUAUGUUUGUUGUA